UAUUGACCUAUUGAACAGACACAUGAACAGAACUAAAUGAAACACAGACACGGAAUUGAAUGAUGGGUCUACAUAUACAUGUAACUCUAACUCUCUUUGUGUCUCCAUGGUGAUAUACAAUAUGUAACUCUAACUGUCUUCGUGCUGAUGAAAAGAUGUGCUGAUGCCCCUUUCUGAGCCCAAACAAUACAACUUAAAGAGAAUGACCACAAAUCUCACCAGGUGAACAUUUGCUGUGCAGUGUCGUCUCUCUUGAAGAUGACGUCAGGAGGAGUGAUGCCGUUCUUCUUGGCAGCAGCUCUAAUGAUGGCCUCAGCCUCCUCCACUCGACCCUGAGACAGUAGCCAGAGAGGGGACUCUGGGAUAAACCUGAGAGAGAGACAGAGAGAGAAAAACUUAACAACCAGGAUGUUUGCAGUGCCUGUUAUCACAGACCAUAUACAGAAAGAGCAGCCAGAAACGACCCCAUCAGCACCCCAAAGAAGAACAAGGUGACUGUAAAAGGAGUUUUCCAUUCAUCAUCACACACCAGAUCCCACUGUGGAAAGUGUGAUGAGAAUAAUUUUUCUCUGUUGCCGUCUAAUCAUCAGUCAGACAGAGCAAAUAGUCGUUGCUCGAAGGUACGAACUUCACAUCUUCAGGGACAAACCAGCCGAGGAUGCCAGGCAUGGUUUUCAGAUACUGUCUUUCACGUGACCAUAUCAAAAUGAGGAUGUUAUACAACCUAGCUACCAACAAAUAAACCCUAAGAAAUUAUUUAAAAACUGUAUAACAUUGCUUUCACUACAUCUGCACAGGUCAAAUAUACACACUUGUGUUGUACGUAUGCAUUGCCCAUGUAUAUUUAAAGAGGCAUCAUGGAGCUUCACAUGUGCUGUAACAAGCUUACUAAUACAACUAUAGUUAAUAUAAAUUGAUGCCUGUAGGUAAUAUAUUGCUACAAAAGCUGUUCCAAUAUUUUAUCAACCCAACAUAAUCAAAAGCCUGGGAAGCCGGUGGGAACAAAAGGUGUGUUUGUUCCUGCCUCACAAGACCACAUGCCAUUGAAAUGGGGAAAAAAAAGACGAGCUAAGCUACCUGUAAUAGUAGUAGGAAUUACUGUACGUUAAUGGGCUGAUAGUAUGCUGCCUUACCUCAGUCACAAUGGUGGACACGUAUCUCUCCUUGCUGAACACCCAGCCAUCCAGACAGCGCUCUGAGCUUUGGUUAGACCCGGCAUCCAAAGCCCCCUGUUCCGCAUAGCGUCUGCAGCGACUCAGGAUGACCUCUCCUCUUACCUCCUCGGUCGGGAGGGACAGAUUGUAGCCCGGUCCCCCAUAGCUGCUGCUGUUCAGGAAUGGAAGCCUGCAGUGGUGAGGAGGAAUAUCAGCCAUGAAAACCAUGGCCAUUCCCACGUAUCCAUUGGGGAUGCUGCUGAGACCCAGGAGAAUGAAGAUUAAUUUUUGAUAAGGCCCCCAGUCUCCUAAAAAUGCAGUGUCUUCAUCAAAAUCCCUCAUUGUGUCUGUCCAGGGAUAGUGACCGCUUGACUGGAACCUGUUCACACUUGUUUUAGCUUUUGUUUCACUAGGACCUGAUAUACAGGAAGUAUGUGAGGGUGGAGCUUCACCGGUCUCAGGUGUUCUUACUGCUACUAGGUGACAGUAACAGGUGAUGUCCUGACCUAUUGAAACAAAUAUAUGACUACUGCGUUAAAGGGCCUAUAUAGAACCCCAACACGCAGAGCAUGCAAACAUCUUUGGAGAUGGACACAGUACACAUGCUUAUGGUAAUGCAUAGGGUAAAUGUCAGUGCAGUCUAAUCUUGUAUAGUUUAGGCUAUUCAAGUACAUCUGUAUUCAAGUACAUCUAUGGUGCCUGUGUGUCUUCAUUUGAAGAAUGUGGUUCAACAAUGUCAGGCUGUGAGAGCAUAAACCUUAUCUGUUGCCAUUGCUGGUUUCAGGGCCAGAUCUGCGGCUGUGGGUCAUCCCAACUUCACAAGACACAGGGACAUAAACCUGCCCUUGUACUCAAUACUGAUGUCAUUUUAGCAUAUCUUGUGUCAUGCUGAUACCGCUUUUAAACACACAUUGUAUAUGCAUUGUUUAUGUAUCCUGGGCAAUGGCCAAAAUGUGAUUAAAGAGCACAACUUUGUUAUUCA